UACGUAGGGUGCAGGCGUUAAUCGGAAUUACUGGACGUAAAGCGUGCGCAGGCGGUUAUGCAAGACAGAUGUGAAAUCCCCGGGCUUAACCUGGGAACCGCAUUUGUGACUGCAUAGCUGGAGUACGGCAGAGGGGGAUGGAAUUCCGCGUGUAGCAGUGAAAUGCGUAGAUAUCAAGCGGAACACCAGUGGCGAAGGCGAGUCCCUGGACAACACCUGACACUGAGGCACGAAAGCUAGGGGAGCAAACAGG
rnacentral:rRNA from 1 species